GACGAACGCUGGCGGCGUGCUUAACACAUGCAAGUCGAACGGAAAGGCCUCUUUCGGGGGGUACUCGAGUGGCGAACGGGUGAGUAACACGUGAGUAACCUGCCCUUGACUUUGGGAUAACUUCAGGAAACUGGGGCUAAUACCGGAUAGGAGCUCCUGCUGCAUGGUGGGGGUUGGAAAGUCUCGGCGGUUGGGGAUGGACUCGCGGCUUAUCAGCUUGUUGGUGGGGUAGUGGCUUACCAAGGCUUUGACGGGUAGCCGGCCUGAGGGGGUGACCGGCCACAUUGGGACUGAGAUACGGCCCAGACUCCUACGGGAGGCAGCAGUGGGGAAUAUUGCACAAUGGGUGGAAGCCUGAUGCAGCAACGCCGUGUGCGGGAUGACGGCCUUCGGGUUGUAAACCGCUUUCGCUCAUGACGAAGCUUUGUGUGACGGUAGUGGGUAAAGAAGCACCGGCUAACUACGUG
rnacentral:rRNA from 1 species